rnacentral:misc_RNA from 1 species
GAUGAAGAACGCAGCGAAAUGCGAUAAGUAAUGCGAAUUGCAGAAUUUCCGUGAGCCAUCGAAUCUUUGAACGCACAUUGCGCCCCUCGGGUCUCCCGGGGGGCAUGCCUGUCCGAGCGUCAUGCUUCCUGUCGGGCCCCCUUAGCUGCUGGGUCCGGAGCUGGGCUGCGCGGUCAGCGCUGGGGUUAACCCCCCCGAGCGAAGGUACCGCGGGCCCGAAAAACACGAGCGGAGCCACCGUAGGAGACGAAGCGACCAAGGUCACAAGCCAUCGCUCCGUUCGCCGCAGGGACGUGCUCCAGCGCCCGUCUCUCCCCGGAGGGGAGGGAUGACCCUUUUUCUAGCGACCGACCUCGGAUCAGGUAGGGAUACCCGCUGAACUUAAGCAUAUCAAUAAGCGGAGGA